rnacentral:misc_RNA from 1 species
GAUGAAGAACGUAGCGAAAUGCAAUAAGUAAUGUGAAUUGCAGAAUUCAGUGAAUCAUCGAAUCUUUGAACGCACAUUGCGCCCCCUGGUAUUCCGGGGGGCAUGCCUGUCCGAGCGUCAUUACAACCCUCAAGCUCAGCUUGGUGUUGGGCCCCGCCGCCCCGGCGGGCCCUUAAGUCAGUGGCGGUGCCGUCCGGCUCCGAGCGUAGUAAUUCUUCUCGCUCUGGAGGUCCGGUCGUGUGCUCGCCAGCAACCCCCAAUUUUUUUCAGGUUGACCUCGGAUCAGGUAGGGAUACCCGCUGAACUUAAGCAUAUCAAUAAGCGGAGGA